AACUCGGCGUUUAGAUCGCGUGAUUUGCGUGAUCCUGCACUUGCUAAGCAAAUGAGGCUGAGAUGAAUGGGAAUGUCCAAGGUAUCAGCCGACCCUCCUCCUCUCUCCCGCCUCGGUCUCUGUUAAACAGAAUGCUGCUACAGUACUUCGUUGGCAGUGCCAACAGCUGAGGUCUGCUUCCUGAGUUUCCCUCCAGCCUGAGAGAGUUACAGGAACAGAAAGGAAGUGUGUGUUUGUGUGAAGGCAAGGGACAGUGUGUAAUGUACGUUUGUUAGAGAGAGCACAAGAAAAGAGAGAGAGAGAGAGAGACUAAGGAAUGCUGUGAUGUCACCAGUUAAGUCACACACAAAGGCAAGAAGGACACACAAGCACUCACUCUCCCUCUUAGUAAAGUCUGCCGUGGAGCGUUCGCACCCAGCUCGUGUCCCGUUUAUGGCUGCUAAUUAGUGAUGAGAGCUUGUGUGUGGUGAACGGACCGAGCUGGGCUUCAUCAUCUUUACCACCAUCUUCCUCGUUCUGAAGGACUGUUGCUGAAUCUCAGGAUAUAAUCAGGUGAACCACACACACGGCCAUGCUGCAGCAGAUCUUGAACGACAUGUACAUCGACCCGGAUGUGCUGGACGGUCUGAACGACGAGCAGAAGAAGACGCUCUUCCUGAAGAUGCGUGAGGAGCAGGUGCGACGCUGGAAGGAGCGAGAGGAGAAGCUGGAGAGGGAACCGCUCAAACCCAAACCAA